rnacentral:rRNA from 1 species
GACGAACGCUGGCGGCGUGCUUAACACAUGCAAGUCGAACGGAAAGGCCCUGCUUUUGUGGGGUGCUCGAGUGGCGAACGGGUGAGUAACACGUGAGUAACCUGCCCUUGACUUUGGGAUAACUUCAGGAAACUGGGGCUAAUACCGGAUAGGAGCUCCUGCUGCAUGGUGGGGGUUGGAAAGUUUCGGCGGUUGGGGAUGGACUCGCGGCUUAUCAGCUUGUUGGUGGGGUAGUGGCUUACCAAGGCUUUGACGGGUAGCCGGCCUGGGAGGGGGACCGGCCCCAGUGGCCUUCGGGUACGGCCCGGACGCCUUCGGGCGGAAGCGGUGGGGAACAUUCCACAAUGGGCGGAGUCCGGAUGCAGAAACUCCGCGUCGGGGAUGACGGCUUUCGGGUAGUAACCCGCUUUCGCCUGUGACGAAGCGUGUGGGCGGUAACUGGGCAAAGAGGCACCGCCUACUUCCUU